GAUGAACGCUGGCGGCGUGCCUAAUACAUGCAAGUCGAGCGAAUGGAUUAAGAGCUUGCUCUUAUGAAGUUAGCGGCGGACGGGUGAGUAACACGUGGGUAACCUGCCCAUAAGACUGGGAUAACUCCGGGAAACCGGGGCUAAUACCGGAUAACAUUUUGAACCGCAUGGUUCGAAAUUGAAAGGCGGCUUCGGCUGUCACUUAUGGAUGGACCCGCGUCGCAUUAGCUAGUUGGUAAGGUAACGGCUCACCAAGGCAACGAUGCGUAGCCGACCUGAGAGGGUGAUCGGCCAUACUGGGACUGAGACACGGCCCAGACUCCUACGGGAGGCAGCAGUAGGGAAUCUUCCGCAAUGGACGAAAGUCUGACGGAGCAACGCCGCGUGAGUGAUGAAGGCUUUCGGGUCGUAAAACUCUGUUGUUAGGGAAGAACAAGUGCUAGUUGAAUAAGCUGGCACCUUGACGGUACCUAACCAGAAAGCCACGGCUAACUACGUGCCAGCAGCCGCCGUAA
rnacentral:rRNA from 1 species